rnacentral:rRNA from 1 species
GUGGGGAAUAUUGGGCAAUGGGCGCAAGCCUGACCCAGCAACGCGGCGUGAAGGAAGAAGGCUUUCGGGUUGUAAACUUCUUUUACCAGGGACGAAACAAAUGACGGUACCUGGUGAAUAAGCCACGGCUAACUACGUGCCAGCAGCCGCGGUAAUACGUAGGUGGCGAGCGUUAUCCGGAUUUAUUGGGUGUAAAGGGCGUGUAGGCGGGACAGCAAGUCAGAUGUGAAAACCAGAGGCUCAACCUCUGGCCUGCAUUUGAAACUGUUGUUCUUGAGUGUCGGAGAGGUAAUCGGAAUUCCGUGUGUAGCGGUGAAAUGCGUAGAUAUACGGAGGAACACCAGUGGCGAAGGCGGAUUACUGGACGAUAACUGACGCUGAGGCGCGAAAGCGUGGGGAGCAAACAGGAUUAGAAACCCCUGUAGUCC